CCGAGAGUCACGUUGAUUUAACCACAGUCCCAGGCUACCAAGUGUCCAAGCUGUGCUGCUUCCAAGCUGCCUGACCCAGACCUGAGCUCUUAACCUCUCAAUGGGCAUCCAGGUCGAAAGCAGAAUCUCUGGCUCAAGUGCCGACUGCCCAGCUGUUUCAGAACUCCACCAUGCACCCAACUGCUCCUCCAGGACUUCCCUACGGAUGUGUUGCAGGCUCUGAAACGUCACACAUCCACGCCGCAUCCUCAUCCCACACAUGCUCCUGCUUGUCCCUGGCAUCUGCCAUUCUCAGUGCCAUUCACUAGCCUAUAUGAUGCCUUCGAAUCAGAGGAAGUUACCUCUCCCUCCAGGGAUACGGGCCCACACCUGGUCUCAGGGACCCUUUAGUGGAGGCACAGUCUAUAUAGCCCAGAGCAGUGCCCCUGAUGCCAUCGUCUUCCAAUUUGCUCAGAGCAGACACUGGGAUUCAUCCUUAAUAUCUCUCUCUUCUCUCUCUCUCUCUCUCUCUCUCUCUCGCGGAGGCCCCACUGCCCUUGCAUUCCACAGGAAGUCCCAGUUGCUGGCAUGACCUGAGAGGUUCCUGGGACCACGCCAUGGAAAUGCGUCCGGUCCCAGUGUGACGGGGAAGAGCCGCGCCUGAAGCUCAACUUCCGAGGCUCUCAUCAAUCUACGCUUCCUUUGGAGCGUGCAGCCACCAGGUGGCAGCCGAGGCCACGGGCAGACAGAAAAGCUCCCGAAACUGAAGGACUGCCAGGCAGCAGAGUUCCGGAGGGCUCCCAGGACCUUCAACCAGAAAGAGACAGAGCAUAUGCGCAUAUCAGCCCUGCAAGGAAUGUACUAUAGAGCCAAUUUUACCGGCAAAGGAAUGGAAGAUCUGAAAGGCUAGGCGAUCCCACAAGCAUCGAGGAGCAGGCUGGAAUUUGAACCAAUCGGCAUGAUUCCCAAGCUCAAGCUUUUGGCCACCCCUGCACUGCCAGGGACAAAAAAAAAAAAAAAAAAAAACCCUGGGAGGAGAGCCAAGCUAGGGAGUCAAGACCCUCCAGCCAGGUCUGGAUGGGAGGCAGGUGCCUCCACCCUGGUCCCAGAGCAAGUUCUGCUGGCUUCAGCCACCUGACUUCCCUGUGAAGGUGGGUAGAGGCCAGAGCAGACUGUGUGUGAUUCUGGCCCCAGCCCCAGCACCUCUACCCCCACCUUUACUACCCCUAGGCUGCGGGAAGAGGCUUUGCCCAGCAAUAGUCCUGAUCUAAUGGAUCCUUGAAGCACA
rnacentral:lncRNA from 1 species